ACCAAUGGGUCUUCAAUGUAGCGAGAAUUCCCGCACCCGUAGGUGUCCUUCAGCUGGCCCCUAAAAGAUAUGUAUACUAGUACAGUGAUAAUGGACGUCAUACUAAACUCCGAAUUAUACACAAGAAAUUAAAAUUAAAAAUCAUACAAGACUAACAAAGGCCAGAGGCUCCUGACUUGGGACAGGCACAAAAUUGCGGCCGGGUUAAACAUGUUUAUGAGAUCUCAACCCUUCCCCUAUACCUCUAGCCAAUGUAGAAAAGUAAACGCAUAACAAUACGC
rnacentral:lncRNA from 1 species